ensembl:lncRNA
GUUAGAUGGGCCCUUGUCCAAAGCAGAUUGGAUCUCUUUUCAGCUGUUUCAGCAGAGAGGAUCAGAAAUGACAGAGGGAGAAGAAAUUGUUUCUCUCAAUUCAUCCAGUAUCUUUUCUGUCAUUCAAAGCUGAUGUCCAUGGAGCCUCGUUAGCCGGCAAGAACUCACUGCCAGAGAGAGCAGAGAGGCUGAGAUCUCAGCACGACUCAGAAUGGAAAUUACUGUUGGUGAUGGGAACGUCCAGAGAGCUGCUAAUGGAUGACACCACAGCAACCCCGACAGCCAUCACCCAGCCCAAAAACUGCUCUGUGAGGCAGAGCUGAUCCCAUCCCUCCCCGCGAUGUCACAAGCGCCAACACAAAGCCGUGGGACCAGCAUCAAAACAGCUCCCAAUCCAUUUUUCCACCCUCCAAAACCCCCAGAAAGCCAUCAGCGGGGACAGCUCCGCGGAGAGAACGACUCUUCCCGAACCCGAGAAACGGGAUGGAAGGGCUGGUGGUGAAAAAGCAACCCGGAGGAAGAAGCUUUUCGCCCUUCAUCCCCCCCUCCUUGGGGCUCUCGCAGGGUCUCGCCCCGCUGUCGGGUUUUGCAGGGCAGCCGCUGCAGAUGGCGCUGCAAUGUAGGAUUUAGCGGAGUCGCACGAGCGUUCGCGAGGGAGAGGGAGCAGCUCCGGCUUUUAGAACUUAAAACACCGGCUUGGCUUAACAAACUUGUAAAAUGGCGGGGGAAAAAAGGAAAAAAAACAAAGCAAGCCGAAACAACAGCAACAGCUUCUUACAGCCUCCCUUCGUUUAUUUGUUUUUCAGGAUUUUGGGGGGAGGUUGGUGCCUGGGAGGUAAUGGGAGACUCAAGAGGUGUUGUGGGGCUGAGAGAUGGGUGCAUGUGUGGGUGUACUGAGCUUGGCUGCGUGAAGACAACUUGAAUGGGGGCUUGGAGCUUCAUGAUCCUUGAGGUCCCUUCCAACCCGGGCUGUGCUGUGAUUCUGUGAUUUUGCCUCUUCCCAG